UUUCCCAAACCUGAAAUAAUUCCAUCGUCUGCUUUCAAAAUACUUUUUAAAUUAAUGUGACCGUCUUUAGCCUGAAAUAUAUUCCAUACUAAACUUUACAGCAUGUUUAUGAUGACUAAAUGAAAACUGUGUCUUCCAAACAACUGUUUACUUUCAGUUUGUGUUUAUCGUGACUUUCGAUAUAAAAACUAGAGACGUUUCGAAAUCCUGUAUUUGUGUCAACUCUGCCAAUAUAGAAUAACUCGGCCAAUACAGAAAAAAAUCUAUAUUGGCCGAGUUAUUCUGUAUUGGCCGAGUUU
rnacentral:lncRNA from 1 species